AUUGAACGCUGGCGGCAUGCCUUACACAUGCAAGUCGAACGGCAGCGGACCUUCGGGUGCCGGCGAGUGGCGAACGGGUGAGUAAUGCAUCGGAACGUACCGUGUAAUGGGGGAUAACGUAGCGAAAGUUACGCUAAUACCGCAUACGCCCUGAGGGGGAAAGUGGGGACCGGCAAGGCCUCACGUUAUACGAGCGGCCGAUGUCGGAUUAGCUAGUUGGUGGGGUAAAGGCCUACCAAGGCGACGAUCCGUAGCGGGUCUGAGAGGAUGAUCCGCCACACUGGGACUGAGACACGGCCCAGACUCCUACGGGAGGCAGCAGUGGGGAAUUUUGGACAAUGGGGGCAACCCUGAUCCAGCCAUGCCGCGUGAGUGAAGAAGGCC
rnacentral:rRNA from 1 species